rnacentral:rRNA from 1 species
UUAAGCCAUGCAUGUCUCAGUAUAAGCUUCUAUACGGCGAAACUGCGAAUGGCUCAUUAAAACAGUUAUAGUUUAUUUGGUGGUCAGCAAUUGCAUGGAUAACCGUGGUAAUUCUAGAGCUAAUACAUGCGUCCAAACCCGACUUCGUGGAAGGGUUGUGUUUAUUAGAUACAGAACCAACCCAGGCUCCGCCUGGCCUUGAGGUGAUUCAUAAUAACCGAACGAAUCGCAUGGCUAUGCCGGCGAUAGACCAUUCAAGUUUCUGACCUAUCAGCUAUCGUCGGUAGGGUAUUGGCCUACCGUGGCAAUGACGGGUAACGGAGAAUUAGGGUUCGAUUCCGGAGAGGGAGCCUGAGAAACGGCUACCACAUCUAAGGAAAGCAGCAGGCGCGCAAAUUACCCAAUCCUGACGCAGGGAGGUAGUGACAAGAAAUAACAAUACAGGGCAUACAUGUCUUGUAAUUGGAAUGAGUAAACUUUAAAUCACUUUACGAGUAUCAAUUGGAGGG